UAUUUUAGAUGAGGUGAUGUAUCAUAAGUUCAUUCCACAAAUUUGGUAGAAUAAAUUUAUUCCUCAUAUUAUGACUAAUUAUUAACCUAUGAGGAAUAAAAUUAUGGUGGAUCAACCUAUUCUAUUAUUUAAACCAAAAGUAAGGAGUAAGAAGAUGGACUAUCUCAUUUCUCAAACUAAACAUCUCAUAAGCUUUAUAAGUUGCGUUGUCUUUAAUUUGUUAGUUUUGUUUACAACCUAUUCUAUUAUUUAAACCAAAAGUAAGGAGUAAGAAGAUGGACUAUCUCAUUUCUCAAACCAAACAUCUCAUAAGCUUUAUAAGUUGCGUUGUCUUUAAUUUGUUAGUUUUGUUUACCCGUAGCCAUAGGUAGAUGCUAUUUAGAUAGUUGCAUUUAGGGAUGAAAACGGUCGGGAACGGUCGGUAAAAUACCUCUACCGUUUUCAUUUUCAUAUU
rnacentral:lncRNA from 1 species